AAUAUGACCUCAAAUCAGGUAGGACUACCCGCUGAACUUAAGCAUAUC
rnacentral:rRNA from 1 species